rnacentral:rRNA from 1 species
GACGAACGCUGGCGGCGUGCCUAAUACAUGCAAGUCGAGCGAAGUUUUUCUGGUGCUUGCACUAGAAAAACUUAGCGGCGAACGGGUGAGUAACACGUAAAGAACCUGCCUCAUAGACUGGGACAACUAUUGGAAACGAUAGCUAAUACCGGAUAACAGUAUUUCUCGCAUGGGAGAUAUUUAAAAGUUGGUUAUGCUAACACUAUGAGAUGGCUUUGCGGUGCAUUAGCUAGUUGGUGGGGUAAAGGCCCACCAAGGCGACGAUGCAUAGCCGACCUGAGAGGGUGAUCGGCCACACUGGGACUGAGACACGGCCCAGACUCCUACGGGAGGCAGCAGUAGGGAAUCUUCCGCAAUGGGCGAAAGCCUGACGGAGCAACGCCGCGUGAGUGAAGAAGGAUUUCGGUUCGUAAAGCUCUGUUGUUAGGGAAGAAUGGAUAUGUAGUAACUAUACAUGUAAGAGACGGUACCUAGCCAGAAAGCCACGGCUAACUACGUG